GCGUGCGCAGGCGGUUUUUGUAAGACUGUCGUGAAAUCCCCCGGGCUCAACCUGGGAAUGGCGAUGGUGACUGCAAGGCUAGAGUUUGGCAGGAGGGGGGUAGAAUUCCACGUGUAGCAGUGAAAUGCGUAGAUAUGUGGAGGAACACCGAUGGCGAAGGCAGCCCCCUGGGUCAAAACUGACGCUCAUGCACGAAAGCGUGGGGAGCAAACAGGAUUAGAUACCCUGGU
rnacentral:rRNA from 1 species